rnacentral:rRNA from 1 species
AUGGACGCGGUGGAGUCAUCGUCGCCCUACUCCCCGCCCUCGCUGCGCCACAAGCUGAGGACGACCGUCUGCGGCUGCUUUGGAUCACCAUCGUCGCCGGGCAGCAGCGGGGAGAGGCCGCACACCGGCGGUGGCAGGGCCAGGUGGAGGCGACGCGUGGCGGCCGUGGGGGAGUUCAGGUACGACCCGCUCAGCUACGCGCUCAACUUCGACGACGGCGCCAGUGUCGACGGCACGGAAGCAGAGGAUGCGGCCUUCCGGCACAGAAACUUCAACUCGCGCCUCCCUCCCUCACCCGUGCCGGCCUCCCGAGCCGUCGCCAUCGCCUAA